rnacentral:rRNA from 1 species
UACGGAGGGUGCGAGCGUUGUCCGGAAUCAUUGGGCGUAAAGGGCGCGUAGGUGGCCCGGUCAGUCUUUGGUGAAAGCGCGGGGCUCAACCCUGCGUCGGCCAGGGAUACUGCCGCGGCUGGAGCACUGUAGAGGCAGGCGGAAUUCCGGGUGUAGCGGUGGAAUGCGUAGAGAUCCGGAAGAACACCGGUGGCGAAGGCGGCAUCCUGGACCAAUAUUGACGCUGAGGAGCGAAAGCUAGGGGAGCAAAGCGGGG